rnacentral:lncRNA from 1 species
AAAGGUCAUUAGGGAGCUUCCAUUUGAUUUUUAUGGGGGGGCUAGGAUGAAAUUUGAAAAAAAUAGGCAGGACAGGAGUUUUGAGUAAAAAAAAAGGCAGGAUGAGGAAAUUGUUAAAAAAAAAAGGCAGGAUGACAAUUUGUGUAAAAAAAGUCAGGAUAAACUAGUAAAAAAAAAGGCAGGACCGAAUAGAGUAAAAAAUAAAAAGGCAGGACAUAGAUUACAACUAAAAAAGAAAGCAGGACAAAAUUUUUCAUCCUAGCCCCCCCAUAAAAAUCAAAUGGUAGCUCCCUUACUC